rnacentral:rRNA from 1 species
AGUGAACGCUGGCGGUAGGCCUAACACAUGCAAGUCGAACGGCAGCACAGUAAGAGCUUGCUCUUACGGGUGGCGAGUGGCGGACGGGUGAGGAAUACAUCGGAAUCUACUUUUUCGUGGGGGAUAACGUAGGGAAACUUACGCUAAUACCGCAUACGACCUACGGGUGAAAGCAGGGGAUCUUCGGACCUUGCGCGAUUGAAUGAGCCGAUGUCGGAUUAGCUAGUUGGCGGGGUAAAGGCCCACCAAGGCGAUGAUCCGUAGCUGGUCUGAGAGGAUGAUCGGCCGCACUGGAACUGAGACGCGGUCCAGACUCCUACGGGAGGCAGCAGUGGGGAAUAUUGGACAAUGGGCGCAGGCCUGAUCCAGCCAUACCGCGUGGGUGAAGAAGGCCUUCGGGUUGUAAAGACCUUUUGUUGGGAAAGAAAAGCAGCAGGUUAAUACCCCGCUGUUCUGACGGUACCCAAAGAAUAAGCACCGGCUAACUUCGUG